UUGUCUGACAGGACCUAUUGAUGGAGAGUCCAAGAACCCCUUAUUAUUCUAGGCAGAGGUGGGGCAGCCUGCAUUUAGCUGGAGGUUACUAAAGGUGCAUGAAAUGAAACCAGAAACUUGAGCUCUUUGGGGGUGGGGACUGUCUUACUGGCUUUGCAACACCAGCACUAUGGCAAAGUCUGUCUUUUAGUAGAGGGCCUUCUAAGAGCAGAUUUCCUCUCUCCAGUUCAGGAACACUUUUCUGUCUUAAAAGGGUCUCCUUCUCAAAUGUUGAUGUCCCUGAGAGGUUUUGCUUUGAAUGAUUUUCCGCUAGGAUCAAAACAAUCAGUGAGUGGCUGGGCGCAGUGGCUCAUGACUGUAAUCCCAGCACUUUGGCCGAGGUGGGAGGAUCACUUGAGGCCAGGAAUUCGAGACCAGCCUGCUCAACAUGGCGAGAACCUGUCCCUACAAAAACAUAAGAAAUUAACCAGGCUUGAUGGUAUUUAUAUGAUGUCAGCAAAAGAAAGAGGCCCUUUCUCCCCUCACCGCCCACCUCCAUUUGGAUUUUGCAGCCUGAGCACCGUCCUCUAAUGGAGCCACUACUUACCUUUCCCACUUCAGCUCCCUAGGGAGAACUGAAGGGCUGCUUUCCCAGAAGCCACCAAGGCUCUCCAGCUGCACCCCCAGAGCCACUGCUGGCAGUUGAGAUUCCCCUGGGAGGUGAGAAUCUGUGAGUCUUCCUAACCACCAGGCCCCAACCAUCUGGGAACAUUUGAGUUCAAAUAACCCAACCAGUCCUGUCCUGCAGGUCUCGAUCCCCUUAAGCAGAGCUAAGAUCCACCUGGAAUGUAUCAGCGCUAUUAUCAGUACUAGUUGUUGACACAUGGAGUCCAUUCUGAUGGGCUGGUGCCUGUCCUCUACCAGUUGUUAAGUAUUUUGGCUAUCACUUCUGUCCUCUGUUGCCAUGCCUCGCACUUCAACCCCUCCUACACUCCUCCCCUGGGCUUCCUCCCCUAGUCCUGCCUUUCGCUGCUGAUUGCCUUUGGUAUCAGACAGGCGCCCAGUAAGCAACAGAUGGCACACCCAAAUUGGGUAAUUUGAGAAGAAUGUAAUAAGGGACUAUUUAGGAAAGUGUGGGCAGGGUAUAGGGAAACCACUAGGGGUAGGGCAGUACCCCGGGGCAAGGGGAGGGACCAGUAAUAGAGAGGGAUGGGUGGAGAAAGCUCUGGUGUGAGCUGAGACCCCUGGCUGGUUGCUGGAGGCAGACAGUUCACUAUUAUUCAUCAGUGAGAAAACCUGGGAAAUUAAAAACCCCAAUCUCCCUCUCUUUCCUCCCUUCCAUCUCCUGUAGGUAUCCCAUUUUCCAAACCGAACAGAGGGCACAGGAGCCCAUUGAACCAGUCUAUCCAUAGAGGUCAGCCUCCUAGGCACAGAACAUGGUGGGGAGGGGUGGAGAGUGGAUCUGGAGGGGCAAAUGAAAUAUAUUUAGCCCCCCUCCCAUAAUAUUUUAGAAGAACUUUAUCAUGAAAAAAAUUCAAACAUAUUUUAAAAGCAGAGUAGUAUAAUAAACCCAAAAUACCCGCCAUCCAGCUUCAACAAUGAUUAUUUGAGAGCCAAUCAUCUCAUUUUAUCUAUAUUCUCACUCACUCUUACCUCUUUAUUAUUUUGCAGCAAAUGCUGGGCUUCACAUCAUUUCAUCUGUCAAUAAUUCGUAUGCAUCUCUAAAAGAUAAGGAUUCUUUUUAAACCAUAACACCAUUAGCACAGCAAAAAAGUAAAAAAUAAUAAUGAUAAAAUAAAAAUAAUUCCUUAAUAUUAUCAAAU
rnacentral:lncRNA from 1 species